UACGUAGGGGGCUAGCGUUAUCCGGAAUUACUGGGCGUAAAGGGUGCGUAGGUGGUUUCUUAAGUCAGAGGUGAAAGGCUACGGCUCAACCGUAGUAAGCCUUUGAAACUGGGAAACUUGAGUGCAGGAGAGGAGAGUGGAAUUCCUAGUGUAGCGGUGAAAUGCGUAGAUAUUAGGAGGAACACCAGUUGCGAAGGCGGCUCUCUGGACUGUAACUGACACUGAGGCACGAAAGCGUGGGGAGCAAACAGGAUUAGAUACUCGCGUAGUCCCUGA
rnacentral:rRNA from 1 species